rnacentral:rRNA from 3 species
UCCCUUAGUAGCGGCGAGCGAACAGGGAAGAGCCCAGCGCCGAAUUCCGCGUCUCAAAGGGCGUUUGGAACAUGUGGCGUUUAGGAGGAAUCUCUCCGAGGGCAGACGGUGUCGCAAGUCCCCCUGAACGGGGCUGUGAUCCAGAGCGGGUGCGAGGCCCAUAGCUGGUACCGUCUCCUUUGGGUGUCCCCUCCUUGGAGUCGGGUUGCUUGGGAGUGCAGCCCUAAUUGGGUGGUAAACUCCACCUAAGGCUAAAUACGUCCGUGAGACCGAUAGCAAACAAGUACCGUGAGGGAAAGUUGCAAAGAACUUUGAAGAGAGAGUUCAAGAGUACGUGAAACCGCUCAGAGGCAAACGGGUGGGCCCACGAAAGCCGAAGGCGGGGGGAUUCAGUCGAGAGGACGGUGGGGCAGGACUGGCUGGUUGGACGGACCGUGCCAGGCCGGGUCAGUUCCCGAGAUCUGCCGCCUUUCGACGCAUUUCCCCCUGCUUAGUAGGACGCCGCAACCGGUUGGCGCUGCAGCCAUAAGGGAGAGUAAAUGGAAGGUAGCCAGUGAGUUCUUCUUCGGAGGCGCGAGCUGGUCCUAAGCCGACUCUCCUGGUGCUUGUGGCCCGACCGUGGUCGUGAGUCCCUCAACGGGAUGUCGCCGAGCCCUCUGACUGGAGCGGGAGAAAUGGCAGGCUGCUUUCCGCGGAAAAAAUCGAUCGCUUCACGCGUGCAGUGGGCGAUCUCCGGAGGUAGCUGCUGGUGCGUUUUUCUCCUGCGCUGGGCACAGGCAGUUGGCGGCGAGUAGGUCGGUCACCCACCCGACCCGUCUUGAAACACGGACCAAGGAGUCUAACAUGUGCGCGAGUCAUUGGGUCUUGAACAAGCCCAAAGGCGCAAUGAAAGUGAAGACCAGCACUGAAGCUGGUGGAGUUGGGAAACUGUGUCACUGAAGAUGCAGUUGCACCAACGGCCCGUCCCGUCCGCAUCGUCGGUGGGGCGGAGCGAGAGCGUACACGUUGGGACCCGAAAGAUGGUGAACUAUGCCUGGGCAGGACGAAGCCAGAGGAAACUCUGGUGGAGGUCCG